CCUACGGGCGGCUGCAGUGGGGAAUAUUGCGCAAUGGGCGAAAGCCUUACGCAGCGACGCCGCGUGAGGGAUGAAGGUCUUCGGAUCGUACACCUCUGUCAGCAGGGAAGAACGGUCACUGUGCUAAUCAGCAGUGAAUUGACGGUACCUGCAAAGGAAGCACCGGCUAACUCCGUGCCAGCAGCCGCGGUAAUACGGAGGGUGCGAGCUUUAAUCGGAAUUACUGGGCGUAAAGCGCUCGUAGGCGGUAUGUCAAGUCAAGGGUGAAAUCCCCGCGCUCAACGUGGGAACUGCCUUUGAAACUGGCAAACUGGAGUGUGUGAGAGGAUAGUGGAAUUCCAGGUGUAGGAGUGAAAUCCGUAGAUAUCUGGAGGAACAUCAGGGGCGAAGGCGACUAUCUGGCACAUAACUGACGCUGAGGAGCGAAAGCGUGGGUAGCAAACAGGAUUAGAUACCCCAGUAGUC
rnacentral:rRNA from 1 species